rnacentral:rRNA from 1 species
GAUGAACGCUGGCGGCGUGCCUAAUACAUGCAAGUCGAGCGAACGGACGAGAAGCUUGCUUUUCUGAUGUUAGCGGCGGACGGGUGAGUAACACGUGGAUAACCUACCUAUAAGACUGGGAUAACUUCGGGAAACCGGAGCUAAUACCGGAUAAUAUUUUGAACCGCAUGGUUCAAAAGUGAAAGACGGUCUUGCUGUCACUUAUAGAUGGAUCCGCGCUGCAUUAGCUAGUUGGUAAGGUAACGGCUUACCAAGGCAACGAUGCAUAGCCGACCUGAGAGGGUGAUCGGCCACACUGGAACUGAGACACGGUCCAGACUCCUACGGGAGGCAGCAGUAGGGAAUCUUCCGCAAUGGGCGAAAGCCUGACGGAGCAACGCCGCGUGAGAGAUGAAGGUCUUCGGAUCGUAAAACUCUGUUAUUAGGGAAGAACAUAUGUGUAAGUAACUGUGCACAUCUUGACGGUACCUAAGCAGAAAGCCACGGCUAACUACGU